rnacentral:rRNA from 1 species
GAUGAACGCUGGCGGCGUGCCUAAUACAUGCAAGUCGAGCGAACAGACGAGGAGCUUGCUCCUCUGACGUUAGCGGCGGACGGGUGAGUAACACGUGGAUGACCUACCUAUAAGACUGGGAUAACUUCGGGAAACCGGAGCAAAUACCGGAUAAUAUAUUGAACCGCAUGGUUCAAUAGUGAAAGACGGUUUUGCUGUCACUUAUAGAUGGAUCCGCGCCGCAUUAGCUAGUUGGUAAGGUAACGGCUUACCAAGGCAACGAUGCGUAGCCGACCUGAGAGGGUGAUCGGCCACACUGGAACUGAGACACGGUCCAGACUCCUACGGGAGGCAGCAGUAGGGAAUCUUCCGCAAUGGGCGAAAGCCUGACGGAGCAACGCCGCGUGAGUGAUGAAGGUCUUCGGAUCGUAAAACUCUGUUAUUAGGGAAGAACAAAUGUGUAAGUAACUAUGCACGUCUUGACGGUACCUAAUCAGAAAGCCACGGCUAACUACGUG